rnacentral:rRNA from 1 species
UACGGGGGGAGCAAGCGUUGUUCGGAUUUACUGGGCGUAAAGGGCGCGUAGGCGGCCACCGCAAGUCGACUGUGAAAUCUCCGGGCUUAACCCGGAAAGGUCAGCCGAUACUGCGGGGCUAGAGUGCAGAAGGGGCAACUGGAAUUCUCGGUGUAGCGGUGAAAUGCGUAGAUAUCGAGAGGAACACCUGCGGCGAAGGCGGGUUGCCGGGCUGACACUGACGCUGAAGUGCGAAAGCUAGGGGAGCGAACGGG